GGGAGGUAGUUUAGUUUAAAAUAGUAGCUUUGGGUGUUACAGACCUAAAAAUUUUAGUCUCUCAGC
rnacentral:tRNA from 1 species